rnacentral:rRNA from 1 species
AGAAUCAACGCUGGCGGCGUGCCUAACACAUGCAAGUCGAACGAGAAAGGGUAGCAAUACCUGAGUAAAGUGGCGCACGGGUGAGUAACACGUGACUAACCUACCUUUAGUGGGGGAUAACCUAGGGAAACCUGGGCUAAUACCGCAUAAUACCUACGGGUCAAAGCAGCAAUGCGCUGAAUGAGGGGGUCGCGGUCGAUUAGUUAGUUGGCAGGGUAAUGGCCUACCAAGACUGUGAUCGAUA